GAAUCGCCCUGGAAACGAGUUUCUGGGGACUGAGCAAGGAAGCCCCACCCUGAGAGUGGGUGGCACCAUUCAGUGGGCUGGGUUUUCAGAGUGAAGAGAAAGCACGCUGAACACCAGCAAUCAUUUCCUGCUGCUGCCUGACUUUGGAUCCUCUCUGACCAAUCCUCAUCUAUCCCCACCUCCAUGCCUUGCCUGCUACGCUGGGCUGUAUCCCUUCUUAAAAUAUAAACCGGUACCCUUCUUUCUACAGGGUGCUUCUUGUAAGGAAUUUGGUCAAAGCAAAGAGAAGAGCAACCAGUUCACGGAUGAAAAUCAUCAGGAAGCCUUUGCUACGGUUUGGGGAAAACCUCGUGAGAUUCAGAGUAAUCCUGAAGAUGAGGGCCGGCCUCAUCCUCCACCCUGCAGACCCCACGCUGUGAGCUGAAUUUUGCUCAGGAAGAGUGACCAAAUACAAGAUCUUUUGAGAGAAUAUGAAUUCGUACAUGUUUCAGUCCAAGAUGAGUCACAGCUUCUACCACCAAGUAGACACUGAGACAUGACAGCAUCGUUACUAUAAGGUGACCCUUCUCUAGUUUUCACCUCCGAUAUAAAGCCCAGGAAGACUGACGCCAGGAAUCUUACCAUGCCAGCCAGAAUACUGAAGAUAAUUCAUAUCUCCAUUUAUCAUUCAUUAGAAUAGAACUCAAAUCUCCUAAAUUACAGGAAAGGUAUACACCUUUUCAAGAAAGCACUUCUCGGAUAUUGGGCCAACACUUCAAGAAAGAACCAUUGUAUAAAAGAGGACACUAGUAGCCUGUGUUUUCAAGUUGUUACGUAGAUUCUUCGUCAUCCACUUAGCAGGAUUACACAGCCAUCACAGCACGUAGUAAAUGAAAACAAGUCUAAGCAAACAGGCUCAUUCAAGAAGACAGUUGGUAGCCUUGGAAGGCCUGCCGGUUGAAUGGCUGUACGAGGACUGGAAUCCUGUGCUGCUCUUCCUUGAGCAGAGUGACUGUCAUACUUGGAAGACUGACAUAAUGUCUACGGGUUGCUCACCAUUGUCCCAAUGAGAGUCAUAAUAAAACAGAAGGGGAUGUAACAGUGCAAACAAGGAUACACAAUGAUGGUUGUGCCUUUAAUCUAAUGUUUCAUCCUCCUCCUCACCAAGAGCGCUGCAAUCCGUUGGUCUCAACUUAAUUGAAUGAACCGGGAUAUUGCUGGAGAGGCCUGGGAGGAAGUGGCUUUCUGAAAAAUGAAGAGGAACCCCAAAUUGAAUACAUUGCGUUGAACAUGACAGUGAGCUUCAGAUCACUGACUUUAUGGAUGUCAUGACCACUUAUGUAAAGACCGAUCCCUAAGGAACACUGUUUUGUUUUGUUACAUUUUUAGGAUUCUUAGAAAUGAGGAAGACCGAGCAGAAAGAAAGAAGGAAGGGAAGAAGGGAAGGAAGGGAAGGAGAGGGGCAGUUAAGUUUUCUCUAUCUGUGGUCUCUGCAUCCUAGCAUCCAAUCACCCGUGUAUUGAAACUAACAUGAACUGAUGCUAUGCCUGUAUAAACAGUUUUUAUGGUCUUUAUCCCAUGAAGAACAUUGAAGCUAUUAACAUGAAGAUAUUAACAUGCAACAUCUGCACUGUAUUAUGGAUCCUGUGAAACUGUAGAUGAUAUAAGGAAUACAUGCCAAUGUAUUAUGUAUAAUGCACAGAUAUUACCAGAGUCUGUGAUCC
rnacentral:lncRNA from 1 species